AGCGAACGCUGGCGGCAGGCCUAACACAUGCAAGUCGAACGAGACCUUCGGGUCUAGUGGCGCACGGGUGCGUAACGCGUGGGAAUCUGCCCUUGGGUUCGGGAUAACAGUUGGAAACGACUGCUAAUACCGGAUGAUGACUUCGGUCCAAAGAUUUAUCGCCCAGGGAUGAGCCCGCGUAGGAUUAGCUUGUUGGUGAG
rnacentral:rRNA from 1 species